AGUGAACGCUGGCGGCAGGCCUAAUACAUGCAAGUCGAACGGCAGCACAGUGGAGCUUGCUCCAUGGUGGCGAGUGGCGGACGGGUGAGGAAUACAUGGGAAUCUGCCCAGUCGUGGGGGAUAACGUAUGGAAACGUACGCUAAUACCGCAUGCGCCCUUCGGGGAAAGUCGGGGACCGCAAGGCCUGACGCGAUUGGAUGAGCCCAUGUUCGAUUAGCUAGUUGGCGGGGUAACGGCCCACCAAGGCGACGAUCGAUAGCUGGUCUGAGAGGAUGAUCAGCCACACUGGAACUGAGACACGGUCCAGACUCCUACGGGAGGCAGCAGUAGGGAAUAUUGGACAAUGGGCGCAAGCCUGAUCCAGCCAUGCCGCGUGAGUGAAGAAGGCCCUCGGGUUGUAAAGCUCUUUUGUGGGGUAAGAAAAGCAGUUGGUUAAUACCCGA
rnacentral:rRNA from 1 species